rnacentral:rRNA from 1 species
UAGGGAAUCUUCCGCAAUGGGCGAAAGCCUGACGGAGCAACGCCGCGUGAGUGAUGAAGGUCUUCGGAUCGUAAAACUCUGUUAUUAGGGAAGAAUAAAUGUGUAAGUAACUAUGCACGUCUUGACGGUACCUAAUCAGAAAGCCACGGCUAACUACGUGCCAGCAGCCGCGGUAAUACGUAGGUGGCAAGCGUUAUCCGGAAUUAUUGGGCGUAAAGCGCGCGUAGGCGGUUUUUUAAGUCUGAUGUGAAAGCCCACGGCUCAACCGUGGAGGGUCAUUGGAAACUGGAAAACUUGAGUGCAGAAGAGGAAAGUGGAAUUCCAUGUGUAGCGGUGAAAUGCGCAGAGAUAUGGAGGAACACCAGUGGCGAAGGCGACUCUCUGGUCUGUAACUGACGCUGAGGUUCGAAAGCGUGGGUAGCAAACAGG